UGGGGAAUUUUGGACAAUGGGCGAAAGCCUGAUCCAGCAAUGCCGCGUGUGUGAAGAAGGCCUUCGGGUUGUAAAGCACUUUUGUCCGGAAAGAAAUCCUUGGCUCUAAUACAGUCGGGGGAUGACGGUACCGGAAGAAUAAGCACCGGCUAACUACGUGCCAGCAGCCGCGGUAAUACGUAGGGUGCAAGCGUUAAUCGGAAUUACUGGGCGUAAAGCGUGCGCAGGCGGUUUGCUAAGACCGAUGUGAAAUCCCCGGGCUCAACCUGGGAACUGCAUUGGUGACUGGCAGGCUAGAGUAUGGCAGGAGGGGGGUAGAAUUCCACGUGUAGCAGUGAAAUGCGUAGAGAUGUGGAGGAAUACCGAUGGCGAAGGCAGCCCCCUGGGCCAAUACUGACGCUCAUGCACGAAAGCGUGGGGGAGCAAACAGGAUUAGAUACCCUGGUAGUCCACGCCCUAAACGAUGUCAACUAGUUGUCGGGUCUUCAUUGACUUGGUAACGUAGCUAACGCGUGAAGUUGACCGCCUGGGGAGUACGGUCGCAAGAUUAAAACUCAAAUGAAUUGAC
rnacentral:rRNA from 1 species